UCUGAAACAGUAAAAGCGAGCGAGAGAAAAGAGAGCUACGAGAUCUUCUUCAAUGUCCAUCAUUUUCAGUUCUGACUCCGUCAGGCGGCGCCGGCCGGUGAUGCAGCUCCAGACCACGAAUCGGAAGCCGAGAUGUUGAAUGGAGGAAAAGAAAUCGAAAAGACAAUAAUACUCGAAUUGAUGACUGGUUCAGAACAACGAAUUAGUACAAGAAACAAGAAGAAAUCAAUGACAGAAACAAGAAAC